GACGAACGCUGGCGGCGUGCUUAACACAUGCAAGUCGAACGGAAAGGCCCUGCUUUUGUGCGGUGCUCGAGUGGCGAACGGGUGAGUAACACGUGAGUAACCUGCCCUUGACUUUGGGAUAACUUAAGGAAACUGGGGCUACUACCGGAUAGGAGCUCAUGCUGCAUGGUGGGGGUUGGAACGUUUCGGCGGUUGGGGAUGGACUCGCGGCUUAUCAGCUUGUUGGUGGGGUAGUGGCUUACCAAGGCUUUGAAGGGUAGCCGGCCUGAGAGGGUGACCGGCCACAUUGGGACUGAGGUACGGCCCAGACUCCUACGGGAGGCAGCAGUGGGGAAUAUUGCACAAUGGGCGGAAGCCUGAUGCAGCAGCGCCGCGUGCGGGAUGACGGCCUUCGGGUUGUAAACCGCUUUCGCCUGUGACGAAGCGUGAGUGACGGUAAUGGGUAAAGAAGCACCGGCUAACUACGUG
rnacentral:rRNA from 1 species